rnacentral:rRNA from 1 species
GACGAACGCUGGCGGCGUGCCUAAUACAUGCAAGUAGAACGCUGAAGGAGGAGCUUGCUUCUCUGGAUGAGUUGCGAACGGGUGAGUAACGCGUAGGUAACCUGCCUGGUAGCGGGGGAUAACUAUUGGAAACGAUAGCUAAUACCGCAUAAUAGUAGAUGUUGCAUGACAUUUGCUUAAAAGGUGCAAUUGCAUCACUACCAGAUGGACCUGCGUUGUAUUAGCUAGUUGGUGGGGUAACGGCUCACCAAGGCGACGAUACAUAGCCGACCUGAGAGGGUGAUCGGCCACACUGGGACUGAGACACGGCCCAGACUCCUACGGGAGGCAGCAGUAGGGAAUCGUCGGCAAUGGACGGAAGUCUGACCGAGCAACGCCGCGUGAGUGAAGAAGGUUUUCGGAUCGUAAAGCUCUGUUGUAAGAGAAGAACGAGUGUGAGAGUGGAAAGUUCACACUGUGACGGUAUCUUAUCAGAAAGAGACGGCUAACUACGUG